rnacentral:rRNA from 1 species
UGGGGAAUAUUGGACAAUGGGCGCAAGCCUGAUCCAGCAAUACCACGUGAAUGAUGAAGGCCCUCGGGUUGUAAAGUUCUUUUAGUAGGGAAGAUAAUGACGGUACCUACAGAAAAAGCGCCGGCUAACUUCGUGCCAGCAGCCGCGGUAAUACGAAGGGCGCUAGCGUUGUUCGGAAUCAUUGGGCGUAAAGCGUGCGUAGGCGGUAUGAUAAGUCAGCUGUGAAAGCCCAGAGCUCAACUUUGGAACUGCAGUUGAAACUAUUAUGCUAGAGUAUGGCGGGGGAUAGUGGAAUUCUUAGUGUAGGGGUGAAAUCCGUAGAUAUUAAGAGGAACACCAGUGGCGAAAGCGACUAUCUACACCAUUACUGACGCUGAGGUACGAAAGCGUGGGGAGCAAA